UACGAAGGGGGCUAGCGUUGCUCGGAAUCACUGGGCGUAAAGCGCACGUAGGCGGAUUGCUAAGUCAGGGGUGAAAUCCUGGAGCUCAACUCCAGAACUGCCUUUGAUACUGAAGAUCUUGAGUUCGGGAGAGGUGAGUGGAACUGCGAGUGUAGAGGUGAAAUUCGUAGAUAUUCGCAAGAACACCAGUGGCGAAGGCGGCUCACUGGCCCGAUACUGACGCUGAGGCGCGAAAGCUAGGGGAGCAAACAGG
rnacentral:rRNA from 1 species